UGGUUUCUCUUCAGAUCGCAUAAAUCUUUCGCCUUUUACUAAAGAUUUCCGUGGAGAGGAACAAUUCUGAGUUUUGUAUCAAUUUUUUGAGGCCUUGUGUUUGCAAGUUUAACAAGUGGUGUUAAAAAGUAGACUGAGGUUUCACAAGUGGUUGUGCGGUUCACUGGUUAGUACUGAGAAGAUGAGACUAAAUAUAAAGCUGCUCCUUAUUAGUCUUUAUUUAGACACUAAGCUGCCAAAUGAAACGGGGCAGGGGCAGAGUUUGCAAACUGGUUGCACGAGGGACAGUGCGUGUUUCUAAUCUGACUUGUCAUUUACCCACGGAAAGGGGUCCCCGCGGAGCUCCCGGACGCCCGGUGCAACAGCGCUGCUGUAAGAAACGAAAACGAGGUCACGAAGUCCAGAGUCUUGUACGAAAAAUGUUUACAGGUUGGAGAUCACCAACCGGCGAACGCGCUCCCGGGCGUCGCGUGGGUGGGGCCUGGCUCCGACAUUGGCUACGUACAGAACCUGCUGCGCUGACCUUAGAUAAAACUUCUUAAAUUUAUUUGAAGAUGAUUCUUAGGCAUAUCUACCCACAAACAUUUUUCAAGGAGGUACAUACCAGGCGAGUCCUAGCACCUUUCCAACUCUGAUAAGUGUUGCACGUAUUGGCAGCCAAGCUGAGGAUGGAAGCCCGUCUACCAGAAGCAAGAGAUGCAUCCUAGUGAAGUCACUUGAGUCUGGAUCAAGCCAUUCCUGAAGCUCCUACUGCACUACACUACAUCGUUAUGUGAAUCAGUACUUUACCUUUUGUUUAAGCCAGUUAUAAUUAAGCUUUCUGUCACUUGCAACCCCUGAAGUCUUAUUUGAAAC